rnacentral:misc_RNA from 1 species
UUUCCGUAGGUGAACCUGCGGAAGGAUCAUUCGUAAUAAGUGUUUUAUGGCUCUUUUUUAAAUCCAUAUCCACCUUGUGUGCAAUGUCAGGGUUGAUUUUUCUCUCGAGAGGAUCAACCCCAAACAUCAACUAUAUCUCAACUCUUCGUCUGAAAAAUAUUAUGAAUAAAACAAUUCAAAAUACAACUUUCAACAACGGAUCUCUUGGCUCUC